rnacentral:snoRNA from 1 species
UAGAAUGAUGCAAAAUAUUUGUUAAUCUAGAAAUAGAAUGAUGAAAUUAACCACCAAGAUCUCUGAUCUA